CCCUUAGAUGUUCUGGGCUGCACGCGUGCUACACUGAUUAUUUCAACAAGUGUUUUAACUGGAGAGUUCGCGUAAUCCUGAAAUGUUAUCGUGAUGGGAGUAGAGUAUUGUAUUUGUUAAUCUUUAACGAGGAAUUCCUAGCAAGUGUAGGUUUAUAAGUUGUUCUGAUUACGUCCCUGCCCUUUGUACACACCGCCCGUCGCUCCUACCGAUUGAUUGAUCCGGUGAAUUACAUAGAAUUUUGCGUUUUACAUGACGGAAGACGAAGUGUUUUAAACCUUAUCAUUUAGAGGAAGGAGAAGUCGUAAC
rnacentral:rRNA from 1 species